CAGAAAUGAAGUAAAGGCAUUUGGAAGGAGGAGUGAAGCAGAAUUGUUCCAAUCAUUGGGGAUUCAGCAGUGAACAAAACAGACACAAUUCCUUGGUUUCAAGAUACCUGCAUUCUGAUAAAACGUGUGAGACGAUAAUAACCAAGGUUGUGUCACACCUUUUCCUGAACUUUGGCUCAAUUGAAGAAGGAAACUUUCAGGGGAAUUCCAAUAGUAAACAACAGAACCAGCAGUUUUACAAUAAACUGCAGAGCUCCAUUUCAAAACACAAAAAUAGAGCGUCUCUGCAGUGAUGUACUGCCUUAAGGAAGGGUUUGGAUAUUCUGGAACCAGCUGCCCUCAAGUCUUCAUGUAGACUUACAACAUUUUAAGAGUCAGUGCAUUAUUGAAAUUAUUACGUUGCUUUAUUUGGUAUUUUCCAUUUCUUCUCUUAUUAAAUACAUUUACUUUCAUGGUAUAUUAUACUGUGUAACUUCUUAGUUCUAAAUACCUACAGCAACAACAUCUUUGAGAUUCACUACUUCUUCCUUCUUAAACUAUUUCAGUUUUUUUUCUGCUUUUAGCAACUUAGACAUAAAAUUUAAACAGACACCUUGUUGAAUAAGAAACCAUUUCUUGUGUUUAUGAGUGGUUCCUUUCCCCUGUUCCUUAUCCUUUUUCUUUCAUUCUUAUCCUUUACUUCAGCCUCCACUCUUACUCUGAAUGAACACUAAUUUAUUUUGGAGUUGUCAUAUGUAAUUAAUUGCUUUGCAACCAAUUGCAUCACUGAAUAGCUACCGCAUUUGAUAUCACAAUAGUCCAACACUGUGAUAUAAUCUAGAUAAUACUGUGAAAUUGAGAAUAUAGGUCAAUAUGUUGGAAAAAAUUGAAGAAUCAGUACUAGAAAAAAAUUAAUUUUCACAUGCUCUAAUCACGUCAUUUUUAUUUUCUUUUGUCAAAUUGCCUCUUUCUCAUUCCCUUCUCCACAUAUUGCUUCAAUCAUGUUUUUUUUUUUUUUUUAACGGUUCUUCUUUCACAUAGUUCUUUCUCCACUCACAUAAAUGCUUAGCCCAGCAUUGGAAUUCCUCCCCUGUGGGCCUUUCCUUUCAUCAAGUUCCAUCUUCAUUCUUCUCGAGAUGGAUUACAAAAGGAGCUGAUUUAAAAUUCACUGUCUGGUCAUGAAUAGACACGAUAAAGAGAGAUGUUAAUGUAAAAUUAUAUUACAAAAUGUUUGUUUAAAAAACUCAUCAUCUUGCUCCCUUGGGGUUUUCUCUACUAAAUUCACUUUGGCGAAUAAUGACAUUCAUAAAAAAUCUACCCAAGGGCCUUCACGAAACAAAAAGUGCCAAAAUGCAGCAUUUCAUGUCACAAAAAUAGCUCAGAAGUUAACAGGUAAGGCCACUGCUUUUUGUUGAAUUUAGUUGUUUGGUUUUCCAGUAUUUCCCUCGCAUUCUUUGUGAGUACAUACAUACACAUAAGCAUGCAAAUGCACAAAGCACACAUACAGAUUAGAAUUGGGUUUAUUUUAAUUUCCUGAUUGUUUUUGUUCAUCUAAGUGCUAUUUAAAAUAAGUGAGGUUAAUGGCAGUUCCCUCUCCUCUCAUUCUGUACUCUUCCCCAGUCUUUAUUUCCGGUGUGUUAGGAACUUGUUGUUCUUCCCAGAUAGUUCAGUUGCAAUUGGGAGUUGCAAUUUGAGUUGGUAGGUUCUCUCUGGGGCGCUGAGUAAAAGACAACUGUUUGCUAUAAUGGCCUACACAGCUGCAAGAAAAUCACUGUUUAUUGCCUUUAUAAAAAAUAAAAUUUGCUGCUUUCGCCUUAGCUUCUUUUGAACCUUCUCAAGAAAAUCAUUCUGAAGGGCAGAAUAGCAGACUUCUUAAGGGCUGGGAUUCUGGAGUUGGAUUUGGGGUUAAAUCCUAACUCUACCAUUUACUGUGUGGUAUUGAGUAAGUUACUUAACCUUUCUAAGACUCAGUUUUCUCAUAUAUCAAAUAGGUAUUUAUGAAGACAAAAUAAACUCAUGUAUGAAAUAACUCUUAUCACAGAAAAAAACUUCAGUAAAAUAUAAUUCUUAAUAUUGUUGUCUUAAUAAUGCUAAUUUGUAUUUGUAAGCCAAUUUAUUAUUUUUAAGUAAUUUUAAAUUUU
rnacentral:lncRNA from 1 species